rnacentral:rRNA from 1 species
UUACAGACCAGGAUGAACGCCGGCGGCACUGGUGUUCCUACAUAUCAUUACACAGUCGAGCGCUACACAUGGAUUAAGAGCUUGCUCUUAUGCACUCAAGUCUCGCGGUUUCGAAUGACGGGUGACGGUUGACACGUGGGUAACCUGCCCAUAAGACUGCGGUAACUCCGGGAAACCGGGUUACGCCUAAUAAUUCCGGAUAACAUUUUGAACCCCAUGGUUCGAAAUUGAAAGGCGGCUUCGGCUGUCACUUAUGGAAGGACCCGCGUCGCAUUAGCUAGUUGGUGAGGUAACGGCUCACCCAGGCAACGAUGCGUAGCCAACCUGAGAGGGUGAUCUGCCCCAACAACUGGGACUGACGACCCGAGCCCCGACAUCACUCACGCGGAGUUGCAGCAGUAGGGAAUCUUCCGCCAUGGACGAAAGUCCGACGGAGCA